rnacentral:rRNA from 1 species
GCAACGAGCGCAACCCCUGCCUUUAGUUGCCACCAGGUUAAGCUGAGCACUCUAAAGGGACUGCCGGUGAAAAACCGGAGGAAGGUGGGGAUGACGUCAAGUCCUCAUGGCCUUUAUGUCCAGGGCUACACACGUACUACAAUGGGCGGCACAAUGAGUCGCAAACCCGCGAGGGGGAGCCAAUCUCAAAAAACCGCUCUCAGUUCGGAUUGCAGUCUGCAACUCGACUGCAUGAAGCUGGAAUCGCUAGUAAUCGCUGAUCAGCAAGCAGCGGUGAA